rnacentral:rRNA from 1 species
UACGGAGGGUGCAAGCGUUAUCCGGAUUCACUGGGUUUAAAGGGUGCGUAGGUGGGUCUGUAAGUCAGUGGUGAAAUCUCCGGGCUUAACCCGGAAACUGCCAUUGAUACUAUAGGUCUUGAAUUAUCUGGGAGGUAAGCGGAAUAUGUCAUGUAGCGGUGAAAUGCUUAGAUAUGACAUAGAACACCAAUUGCGAAGGCAGCUUACUACGGAUUGAUUGACACUGAGGCACGAAAGCGUGGGGAUCAAACAGG